rnacentral:rRNA from 1 species
ACGCUCGACACCUACGAGGCAGCAGUGGGGAAUAUUGCACAAUGGGGGAAACCCUGAUGCAGCAACGCCGCGUGAAGGAAGACGGUUUUCGGAUUGUAAACUUCUGUUCUUAGUGAAGAUAGUGACGGUAGCUAAGGAGCAAGCCACGGCUAACUACGUCNCACAGCCGCGUAAUCUGAGCGGGCUGGCAAGGC